GAACCUUGGGCCCUGUUAAUAACUUACACAGAAUCUUCAGUGUAUGUAUGGCCAAAUGGUAUUUGUAUUCUUGAAUGCCACGCUGCUGGGUACAUUCUCAAUAUCUGACAGCACAGAGUCUAAAACAAACAAUCUAAAGGAGAAUUUCAUUGUGUAGGUAAUUUCAGAGCAUCCUUGAGGUCAAGAAAUAAAAUGUUGGCCAGAUAGCUCAGAGGUCAAGAUCUGGGUAUGUGUUUUUCACUGCCUCCAGCUACAACUACUCCUGGUGUUCAGAAAGGCUUAACAAGAAUCAGGACUAUUUCUGAGUGUUUAUCAGCAGCUGCCAGAAUUGUGUACAGCACAGAGAGCAACAUUAUUUGGUGUCCUGGGUGGAAGCUGUUUUCUUUUUUCUUCCCUGAAAUAAUAGCUACAAUUUAAAUAUCAUCAACGUGUGUCUCCAGGUGUCCAGAAAACUCUGGAAGAAGACUGGCCCCUGGAAGAAAUGAUCAGUAGCCCAAGGACUUCUGGUCACAGCGCUGUGCAGAGAUCUUCCAGUGUUCUUCAGAAGGCCAUCCUGUCUCCAUGAGUCAUAACCAGGGCUGUUGUUCCCAGUACAUCAGUGAGCAUCAGGAAAAUAUUAAAUGCUCCUUAACUGGUUAGUGAAUAGGCACUGAUCUGAGCUCUCUGAGUGCCCUUCCACCUCUCCAGACACCCUGGCUGCAGGAAUCCCUGGUGAGCACUAAAGCGGAACAGCCUUUGAACCAGCUAAGUCUUCCGCUGCCUGAGGUCGUCCUGCAUUUCCCCCCACCCCAUCCACCUCCCACCAUUGCUGCCAGAGCUAUCAGACCCAACCCUCCUGAAAGAGGGACUGUCAUCUUGCAGGGAAACAAGCCCAGUACCCACCUGACCACCCCAAGGCUGCAGUGUCCUGCUUGCCUUGCCUUUUGCAUGGCCUCUUUGGGCCCAUAGUGUUGAAGUAUUUUGACUAUCCUCCUAGUCACAGUCACACUCUCCUGCCCCUACAUCUCUGCC
rnacentral:lncRNA from 1 species